rnacentral:rRNA from 1 species
CAGUCGCCACGGGAAUACGUAGGGUGCAAGCGUUAAUCGGAAUUACUGGGCGUAAAGCGUGCGCAGGCGGUUAUGCAAGACAGAUGUGAAAUCCCCGGGCUCAACCUGGGAACUGCAUUUGUGACUGCAUGACUAGAGUACGGCAGAGGGGGAUGGAAUUCCGCGUGUAGCAGUGAAAUGCGUAGAUAUGCGGAGGAACACCGAUGGCGAAGGCAAUCCCCUGAGCCUGUACUGACGCUCAUGCACGAAAGCGUGGGGAGCAAACAGGAUUAGAUACCCCCGUAGUCCCUGUCUCUUAUAA